rnacentral:rRNA from 1 species
UCGAGCGGACAGAUGGGAGCUUGCUCCCUGAUGUUAGCGGCGGACGGGUGAGUAACACGUGGGUAACCUGCCUGUAAGACUGGGAUAACUCCGGGAAACCGGGGCUAAUACCGGAUGGUUGUUUGAACCGCAUGGUUCAGACAUAAAAGGUGGCUUCGGCUACCACUUACAGAUGGACCCGCGGCGCAUUAGCUAGUUGGUGAGGUAACGGCUCACCAAGGCGACGAUGCGUAGCCGACCUGAGAGGGUGAUCGGCCACACUGGGACUGA